rnacentral:rRNA from 1 species
UACGUAGGGGGGCGAGCGUUGUCCGGAUUUAUUGGGCGUAAAGAGCGUGUAGGCUGUUCGGUAAGUCUGCCGUGAAAACCUGAGGCUCAACCUCGGGCGUGCGGUGGAUACUGCCGGGCUAGAGUUCGGUAGGGGAGACUGGAAUUCCUGGUGUAGCGGUGAAAUGCGCAGAUAUCAGGAGGAACACCGGUGGCGAAGGCGGGUCUCUGGGCCGAUACUGACGCUGAGGAGCGAAAGCGUGGGGAGCGAACAGG